AUACAUUUCUUGCCCUUUUGGCAAAGAUAAAGUGUAAUAUUUAUUUUUAUCAGUUUAAUGUCUGAUAUGCAUACCAUAUGUUCAAUCCGAUAUUAAAUUUAUUUUUUAUGAAUAUCAUAUGUGAUUGUGUGCUAUCGCAACGCACGGGCAUUGUACUAGUU
rnacentral:snRNA from 1 species